rnacentral:lncRNA from 1 species
UGGCUUGAGAAGAAUUUUUAUUCAUUUUUGUUUAUAGAAGUUAUCUUUUCUUCCUGGGCAUUUUAGACAGCCAUUCCUAAUUUAGCCUUCAAUGAGUCAAAUAAAAUGAGAAUGACAAAGAAUCUGUCAAUUAAAUAAACAUGAAAAUGUAAACAUUCAAAUGCAAAUAAAAACAUUUCAACAAUCUAACAAUAAUUACAUUUCAAAAAAAUCUACCAGUUUAUCAAAAAUAAGCUCACAUUGGUCUAUGGUAUGAAUAUAAUCGUAAUAGUUUUUGGGUUUAAACUAUAUGUGUGAAUCCCCCUAGUUUUCUCCCUGACACUGAGACUGCCUAUUUUGGAAUCCUUCUAAUACCCUUUACAGUCAGUGGCAUUCACAAAUCAAUUUCACUAUCCUUUUUUUUUGCCUUUUAGGGCUGCACCCGAGGCAUAUGGAGCGGCCCAAAAAAUGGCAAAAAGAAAAAAAAAAAAAAAAAAGUACUGAGUACCUCAAGGUAGUCCUUGGGUGGAUUAGCACUGGCAUCAUGUGGACGCUGGUCAGAAAAGCAAAAUCUCAGACCCACUCUAGCCCUACUAAGUAUGCAUUUUAACAGGAUCCCCCACGUGAUUCAGGUGCAUGUUAAAGUUUGAGAAAAACUACUUUCUUCUUGUAGACAGAUGUACACAUAUAAAAUUAUUUUAUUUAUAGGGUCAACUGAGGCAAAACAUGUUGGUUUCCUUAACUGCCACAUCAAGACUUUCAUGUCAUUUUAUAUCAAAUUGAAUAGGCAACAUGGAUUAACUAAGGUUUCCAAAUUGUAAUUAAUCUAUGGGCAAAUGGUAAAGACAACCCAGAAAGUUUAAGCAAUUUAGUAAAAAAUUUCUUAGGUAUAUUCAUCCUCACACUAGAAUAUGCCAGCGUAUACAAGUCCAGUUCUUCAUAUACAAACCUGAAAACCUCAAAGUUUAAGCUUGAUGGCAAAACAUGACUUGACUUGAUAUUAAGCUAUUAAUGUAGCUUAUUAACCCAGUGACUGUGAUCAUUCCUGUUCUGCAGAAACGUUAAUGUAUAAAUCUGGGGCCUGACACAAACCUCACUCGAGGUAUUAUGAAGUAUACAGUAUGAAAACCUAAGGGUUUCACGUAAGGGCCCUUUCAAGGUAAAUAGAGUGAAAGAGCAAAAGAGACCAAAGCAAGGAAAAUUAAAGCUGCUUGAGUAAACUUUCAUGCUAAUGCUGGCUAAAUAAAAACCACCUAAUAUGAUGCCUUAAGAAGCAAUACCAGAGUUCUCUUGUAGUGCAGCAGGUUAAGGAUCUGGUGUUGUCACUGCAGUGGCUUGGGUAGCAGCUGUGGCUUGGGUUCAAUCCAUGGCCCAGGAAUUUCCACGUGCAACAGGCAUUCCAGUAAAGGGAAAAAAAAGCAGUAGCAGCAAUAAUAUGACAAUAUGGAGUAGCGCAAUAAACUGCUCAAAUGAAGUUACACUGGGGGUCAAUCAGAAAAGACAAUGAAUUUGUAAAUGGCAAAGAGCAUAUUUCUGAAAUUUUCCCUUGAGAAACAAUUUAAAAUAUUAUAACACUGAAAGGGGUAUCUCCAUAGAUGUUUAGAUAAUCCAAAAUAAGGGAAGUGGCCUCUUUUUUUUUUUUUUUUUUUGUUCCUUUUAGGACCAUACUCCGAGGCAUACAGAGAUUCCCAGGCUAAAGAUCAAAUUAGAGCUGUAGCUGCUGGCCUACACCACAGCUCAUGGCAACGUUGGAUCCUCAACCCACUGUGCUAGGCCAGGGAUCGAACCUGUGUCCCCAUGGUUACUAAUCAGAUUCAUUUCAGCUGAGCCACGACAGGAACUCCAAAACAGCCUCUUACUUUCAGCUUCUAAUACUCAAAAAUCAAGUCCAUCAAAAAUUCUCCUGUAUUUUCAACUUAAGUUUCUAGUAUGCAGUACACAAUUACAACAUGAUGCCAUUUAUUUAACAAGACUCUGGAAGAAUGAGUCUCCGAGAUCAAAUAUAUACAUUUUUAAUAUCUGAAAUAUUUACAUAAUGGAACCAUGUCAUGGUCCAAUGUUAAGAACAGUGUUUUCAAUUGUCCUCUUAAGAUGUAAAAAAAAAAUCUAGUAACUCAAACUCAGUUAUGCUUUUUUUUUUAACACCGCUCCCCCAAUCUUUAUCUUUUUUUAAAAAAUAAAUAUUCAGGACACAGGAAUAGCUGCACCUAAUUUCUGUUAAGAACUGUUUAAAACUUGUUACAUUUUCAGGUAAUUUUGCUCCCUUGUGAAGUUCUGAUCUACAAUAAAGAAAUCCCCAUCAAUAUCUUUAAAGUUUUGAUGAGCAGAGGUAAACGAGGUGUGUGUCUGCAUAUACACACACAAGAUAUAAACCCUUUACAGAACAAAUAGUGGUAACUGCCUUAAACAAUUUAUUCUUAGAAUUAAGAAUGUAAAGUCUAUAAAUUGCCAUGCUGAAUUUCUAUUGUACUUUUUGUCAAAUGUUCCUAGCUUGUAAAAAUGCCUACUUUUAUCUUUUGCUGAUUUUUUUAAAGGAUUUUUUUCACUUAUAGUUUUGAUUUUUUUUUAAACAAAAGGGUACAUAAAAAUUAAAUCAAGGACCAAUUAGUGCAAAAAUGCAUUAAAUAAAGCUCUCCAGAAUCUAAGGAUCUGCCUCAUUCUGAACAAUGAAAUGGGGGGGAAAUAUCACUAUGAUUCACACUCACUUAAAAGAGAGGCCGACACAGCCAUUGACAGAAAAAAAAGCAAACCAUUCUGUUCAACAGACUGCUGGC